ACGCUCGACACCUACGGGAAGCAGCAGUGGGGAAUAUUGGGCAAUGGGCGCAAGCCUGACCCAGCAACGCCGCGUGAAGGAAGAAGGCCCUCGGGUUGUAAACUUCUUUUAACAGGGACGAAGUAAGUGACGGUACCUGUUGAAUAAGCCACGGCUAACUACGUGCUAGCAGCCGCGGUAAUCUGAGCGGGCUGGCAAGGC
rnacentral:rRNA from 1 species